rnacentral:rRNA from 1 species
AGUGAACGCUGGCGGUAGGCCUAACACAUGCAAGUCGAACGGCAGCACAGUAAGAGCUUGCUCUUACGGGUGGCGAGUGGCGGACGGGUGAGGAAUACAUCGGAAUCUACUUUUUCGUGGGGGAUAACGUAGGGAAACUUACGCUAAUACCGCAUACGACCUACGGGUGAAAGCAGGGGAUCUUCGGACCUUGCGCGAUUGAAUGAGCCGAUGUCGGAUUAGCUAGUUGGCGGGGUAAAGGCCCACCAAGGCGACGAUCCGUAGCUGGUCUGAGAGGAUGAUAGGCCACACUGGAACUGAGACACGGUCCAGACUCCUACGGGAGGCAGCAGUGGGGAAUAUUGGACAAUGGGCGCAAGCCUGAUCCAGCCAUACCGCGUGGGUGAAGAAGGCCCUCGGGUUGUAAAGCCCUUUUGUUGGGAAAGAAAAGCAGCAGGUUAAUACCCCGCUGUUCUGACGGUACCCAAAGAAUAAGCACCGGCUAACUUCGUG